CCUACGGGAGGCAGCAGUGGGGGAUAUUGCACAAUGGGGGGAACCCUGAUGCAGCGACGCCGCGUGGGUGAAGGAGUGCUUCGGUAUGUAAAGCUCUAUCGGCAGGGAAGAGGCAAGACGGUACCUGACAAAGAAGCCCCGGCUAACUACGUGCCAGCAGCCGCGGUAAUACGUAGGGGGCGAGCGUUAUCCGGAUUCACUGGGUGUAAAGGGAGCGUAGACGGCAAGGCAAGUCAGAGGUGAAAGCCCGGGGCCCAACCCCGGGACUGCCCUUGAAACUGCAUGGCUGGAGUGCGGGAGGGGCAAGCGGAAUUCCUGGUGUAGCGGUGAAAUGCGUAGAUAUCAGGAGGAACACCAGCGGCGAAGGCGGCCUACUGGACCGAGACUGACGUUGAGGCUCGAAAGCGUGGGGAGCAAACAGGAUUAGAUACCCCUGUAGUC
rnacentral:rRNA from 1 species